rnacentral:rRNA from 1 species
UUUUUUUAUACCGCCAAUGACGUGCGCGGCCUAACAUGCAGUCGGCGAUNAAGAGCUGCUCCUGAUUCGGCGGCGGACGGGUGNGUAAUGCCUAGGNAUCUUGCCUUGGUAGUGGGGGACAAACGUUUCGAAANGNAACGCUAAUACCCGCAUACGUCCUACGGGAGAAAAGCAGGGGACCUUCGGGCCUUGCGCUAUCAGAUGAGCCUAGGUCGGAUUAGCUAGUUGGUGAGGUAAUGGCUCACCAAGGCGACGAUCCGUAACUGGUCUGAGAGGAUGAUCAGUCACACUGGAACUGAGACACGGUCCAGACUCCUACGGGAGGCAGCAGUGGGGAAUAUUGGACAAUGGGCGAAAGCCUGAUCCAGCCAUGCCGCGUGUGUGAAGAAGGUCUUCGGAUUGUAAAGCACUUUAAGUUGGGAGGAAGGGUUGUAGAUUAAUACUCUGCAAUUUUGACGUUACCGACAGAAUAAGCACCGGCUAACUCUGUGCCAGCAGCCGCGGUAAUACAGAGGGUGCAAGCGUUAAUCGGAAUUACUGGGCGUAAAGCGCGCGUAGGUGGUUUGUUAAGUUGGAUGUGAAAUCCCCGGGCUCAACCUGGGAACUGCAUCCAAAACUGGCAAGCUAGAGUAUGGUAGAGGGUGGUGGAAUUUCCUGUGUAGCGGUGAAAUGCGUAGAUAUAGGAAGGAACACCAGUGGCGAAGGCGACCACCUGGACUGAUACUGACACUGAGGUGCGAAAGCGUGGGGAGCAAACAGGAUUAGAUACCCUGGUAGUCCACGCCGUAAACGAUGUCAACUAGCCGUUGGGAGCCUUGAGCUCUUAGUGGCGCAGCUAACGCAUUAAGUUGACUGCCUGGGCAGUACGGCGCGAACCGGU